rnacentral:rRNA from 1 species
UAGGGAAUCUUCCGCAAUGGGCGAAAGCCUGACGGAGCAACGCCGCGUGAGUGAUGAAGGUCUUCGGAUCGUAAAACUCUGUUAUUAGGGAAGAACAAAUGUGUAAGUAACUAUGCACAUCUUGACGGUACCUAAUCAGAAAGCCACGGCUAACUACGUGCCAGCAGCCGCGGUAAUACGUAGGUGGCAAGCGUUAUCCGGAAUUAUUGGGCGUAAAGCGCGCGUAGGCGGUCAAUUAAGUCUGAUGUGAAAGCCCCCGGCUCAACCGGGGAGGGUCAUUGGAAACUGGUUGACUUGAGUGCAGAAGAGGAGAGUGGAAUUCCAUGUGUAGCGGUGAAAUGCGUAGAUAUAUGGAGGAACACCAGUGGCGAAGGCGACUCUCUGGUCUGUAACUGACGCUGAGGUUCGAAAGCGUGGGUAGCAAACAGG